CGCCAGUAGACACAGAGUUAAAAGGAGAGUCCCAGAAACAGCAAGAGAAGCCAGUGUUGUAGGAGCCGCCAGAGUUUACUCUGGCAGACCUGACCUCCGGGACUAGUCUUGGGCAUCAGCAGACUGGGAGCUGUAUGUGGACGGGAGCAGCUUCAUCAACCCACGAGGAGAGAGAGACGCAGAAUAUGCGAUGGUAACCCUGGACACCGUCGUUAAAGCCAGAUCGUUGCCCCAGGAAACACUUCAGCCCAGAAAGCAGAGCUCAUUGCUUUCAUCCAGGCCAUAGAACUCAGCGAAGAUUCAUCACAGUCAGCUAACACUGGCAGCUCAGGACAAGUAGACCAGCCAGCAGGACGCAGAUCAUCCAAUCCAGCUGAUCUUGAGACGACACCAAGCUGCUGCUGAGGACAACAGCCUUGCUCUGGUCACUCUGGAGGCUGACCAGUUUACACACGGCUGAAGUUUGAGGACUCGUCAAGCAAGUCAUCUUCCCCAUGCUUGCUUGAUUUAUCACGACCCUUUCAUGUGGACCCCUUAAAGUUGUAAGCCUUUAAAAAGGCCAAGAAUUUAUUUUUCAGGGAGCUCAGCUCUUAAGAUGCAAGUCUGCCGAUGCUCCUGGC